CCGAACGAUAUUUUAUGACACCUAAUUCGGACAUAUGUCAUUUCCCUUCCCCGGCUUCGGAGAAUGUAAACAAACCAAAAGGCGUGACAGCUAGCCGACAUGCUAACCCGAACAGAGUGAUGUUUCAAAGUCUUCAAAGCGGAAAAUCACACAUAACUAUCCUGGAUUAUUUGACAUGACGACCCGGUUGUCUAUUGUCGUUGCGGAUCGGCAAACCGCCCGGCGGAGAGGAAUUUACAGUUCGUUCCCCGGAGGAGGGUGGCUGGAGUUGUUGUGCAGCUAACGGGUUGCUGCUAAUGACCAUUAGGACAGCUUUUUACAUGCCUAUCAAUGAUCAAACGAUUGGACAGAUGGGUGAGCCUGGGACCAGGUGCAGGUGAUCGUCGUUAACAGCCUACUUAAACCAGUGCCUGGCCUCACCUCAUCGCCAGAUCAACAACUCAGCUCAAAGAAUGCUGCGAUACUUGCCUGCCUGAACACCUGCUUACCCAUCUGCUCAUCUAUCGCAAAGACACACCUGACUAUUUCAACACCUUCCGCCAAACCUGCCAAUAAAGUGUUGUCACUGCCAGUUUUGCCUGUCAUCUCUGCGCUUGGGUCCUCUGCUCAAUCAGAACCACAACAGUUUUAUGUCCAUAUCUAUGAAGAAUUCAAGAGU